CCUACGGGAGGCAGCAGUAGGGAAUAUUGCUCAAUGGGGGAAACCCUGAAGCAGCAACGCCGCGUGGAGGAUGAAGGUUUUCGGAUUGUAAACUCCUUUUGUUAGAGAAGAUAAUGACGGUAUCUAACGAAUAAGCACCGGCUAACUCCGUGCCAGCAGCCGCGGUAAUACGGAGGGUGCAAGCGUUACUCGGAAUCACUGGGCGUAAAGCGCGCGUAGGCGGGAUAGCAAGUCAGAUGUGAAAUCCUAUGGCUUAACCAUAGAACUGCAUUUGAAACUGUUAUUCUAGAGUAUGGGAGAGGUAGGUGGAAUUCUUGGUGUAGGGGUAAAAUCCGUAGAGAUCAAGAGGAAUACUCAUGGCGAAGGCGACCUGCUAGAACAUAACUGACGCUGAUGCGCGAAAGCGUGGGGAGCAAACAGGAUUAGAUACCCCGGUAGUC
rnacentral:rRNA from 1 species